GCUGCCUCUCUGCCUCUCCUUUCUCGUUCUCCGUGCGGUGAGAGACGCGCACGGGGGAACGCGCUCGCUGUCUCUGGCUACUGUUGUGAGACGCAGAUUAUUCUUUAUGAAAAGCGAAUAAUAUUUGAUGCUCUUUUGCCUGUCGACACAACCAUCUGUGCUUUACGGAAGUGGCGUUCCUUUACUGAUCCACGUUGACUCUCAGGAGGAUCAGGGAGUGAUAAUGACAAUCGUUGUAAUGAUUAUGUAAUAAACCCUAGUGCCUUGAUGCCCAUGUUCCUCUGCACAGCACGUUGGAAAAUGCAAUUGUUGAAUGACAGAUUCCAUUUUUUGAGCUCAGUUCUUGCAAGUUGAUUGUCGGAGUACGAUGAAAAAUCUGUAUCUUAGUGAAGAGGAUCUCCCUUUUCUGCACAUAUUAUACAACGCAGACCCAACCAGAAAAAUGGUCAAACAAAGACCCAAGGCAGGCAUGAAGAAAACCAGGUCAAAGAAAUUCCUCCAGAAAACUGCCAACUCAAAGCAGCCAUUUGGAUCAUCCACUCAUGGUGUGUUCGGAAUUAGCAAUAACAGGUUACUAGAACACAUUACCUAUGGAAGCUACAGCGCAAAUCGUUACAGAAUGGCUUCACCGAAGGGAAGCAUCAGUUUUUUGCGGGGUGCGGGAGCCACUACAGGUUCUCAUGCCUCAAACAGAUCACCAGGCUCCCUUGCCUCAGCCGGUUCGUCAGGCUCUCAUGCAUCAGCCGAAUUGCCAGGCUCCCCUGCUACA